rnacentral:rRNA from 2 species
GGGUUGUGAGGUUAAGCGACUAAGCGUACACGGUGGAUGCCCUGGCAGUCAGAGGCGAUGAAGGGCGUGCUAAUCUGCGAUAAGCGCCGGUAAGGUGAUAUGAACCGUUAUAACCGGCGAUACCCGAAUGGGGAAACCCAGUGUGAUUCGUCACACUAUCAUUAACUGAAUCCAUAGGUUAAUGAGGCGAACCGGGGGAACUGAAACAUCUAAGUACCCCGAGGAAAAGAAAUCAACCGAGAUUCCCCCAGUAGCGGCGAGCGAACGGGGAGGAGCCCAGAGCCUGAAUCAGCAUGUGUGUUAGUGGAAGCGUCUGGAAAGUCGCGCGAUACAGGGUGACAGCCCCGUACACAAAAGCGCAUGUGUUGUGAGCUCGAUGAGUAGGGCGGGACACGUGGUAUCCUGUCUGAAUAUGGGGGGACCAUCCUCCAAGGCUAAAUACUCCUGACUGACCGAUAGUGAACCAGUACCGUGAGGGAAAGGCGAAAAGAACCCCGGCGAGGGGAGUGAAAAAGAACCUGAAACCGUGUACGUACAAGCAGUGGGAGCACAGGUUUACCUGUGUGACUGCGUACCUUUUGUAUAAUGGGUCAGCGACUUAUAUUCUGUAGCAAGGUUAACCGUAUAGGGGAGCCGGAGGGAAACCGAGUCUUAAUUGGGCGUUAAGUUGCAGGGUAUAGACCCGAAACCCGGUGAUCUAGCCAUGGGCAGGUUGAAGGUUGGGUAACACUAACUGGAGGACCGAACCGACUAAUGUUGAAAAAUUAGCGGAUGACCUGUGGCUGGGGGUGAAAGGCCAAUCAAACCGGGAGAUAGCUGGUUCUCCCCGAAAGCUAUUUAGGUAGCGCCUCGUGAAUUCAUCUCCGGGGGUAGAGCACUGUUUCGGCUAGGGGGCCAUCCCGGCUUACCAACCCGAUGCAAACUGCGAAUACCGGAGAAUGUUAUCACGGGAGACACACGGCGGGUGCUAACGUCCGUCGUGAAGAGGGAAACAACCCAGACCGCCAGCUAAGGUCCCAAAGUCAUGGUUAAGUGGGAAACGAUGUGGGAAGGCCCAGACAGCCAGGAUGUUGGCUUAGAAGCAGCCAUCAUUUAAAGAAAGCGUAAUAGCUCACUGGUCGAGUCGGCCUGCGCGGAAGAUGUAACGGGGCUAAACCAUGCACCGAAGCUGCGGCAGCGACACUGUGUGUUGUUGGGUAGGGGAGCGUUCUGUAAGCCUGUGAAGGUGUGUCGUGAGGCAUGCUGGAGGUAUCAGAAGUGCGAAUGCUGACAUAAGUAACGAUAAAGCGGGUGAAAAGCCCGCUCGCCGGAAGACCAAGGGUUCCUGUCCAACGUUAAUCGGGGCAGGGUGAGUCGACCCCUAAGGCGAGGCCGAAAGGCGUAGUCGAUGGGAAACGGGUUAAUAUUCCCGUACUUGGUGUUACUGCGAAGGGGGGACGGAGAAGGCUAUGUUGGCCGGGCGACGGUUGUCCCGGUUUAAGCGUGUAGGUGUGUGUUCCAGGUAAAUCCGGUUCACUUUAACACUGAGGCGUGACGACGAGGCACUACGGUGCUGAAGCAACAAAUGCCCUGCUUCCAGGAAAAGCCUCUAAGCAUCAGGUAACAUCAAAUCGUACCCCAAACCGACACAGGUGGUCAGGUAGAGAAUACCAAGGCGCUUGAGAGAACUCGGGUGAAGGAACUAGGCAAAAUGGUGCCGUAACUUCGGGAGAAGGCACGCUGACACGUAGGUGAAGUGAUUUACUCAUGGAGCUGAAGUCAGUCGAAGAUACCAGCUGGCUGCAACUGUUUAUUAAAAACACAGCACUGUGCAAACACGAAAGUGGACGUAUACGGUGUGACGCCUGCCCGGUGCCGGAAGGUUAAUUGAUGGGGUCAGCGCAAGCGAAGCUCCUGAUCGAAGCCCCGGUAAACGGCGGCCGUAACUAUAACGGUCCUAAGGUAGCGAAAUUCCUUGUCGGGUAAGUUCCGACCUGCACGAAUGGCGUAAUGAUGGCCAGGCUGUCUCCACCCGAGACUCAGUGAAAUUGAACUCGCUGUGAAGAUGCAGUGUACCCGCGGCAAGACGGAAAGACCCCGUGAACCUUUACUAUAGCUUGACACUGAACAUUGAGCCUUGAUGUGUAGGAUAGGUGGGAGGCUUUGAAGCGUGGACGCCAGUCUGCGUGGAGCCGACCUUGAAAUACCACCCUUUAAUGUUUGAUGUUCUAACGUGGACCCGUGAUCCGGGUUGCGGACAGUGUCUGGUGGGUAGUUUGACUGGGGCGGUCUCCUCCUAAAGAGUAACGGAGGAGCACGAAGGUUGGCUAAUCCUGGUCGGACAUCAGGAGGUUAGUGCAAUGGCAUAAGCCAGCUUGACUGCGAGCGUGACGGCGCGAGCAGGUGCGAAAGCAGGUCAUAGUGAUCCGGUGGUUCUGAAUGGAAGGGCCAUCGCUCAACGGAUAAAAGGUACUCCGGGGAUAACAGGCUGAUACCGCCCAAGAGUUCAUAUCGACGGCGGUGUUUGGCACCUCGAUGUCGGCUCAUCACAUCCUGGGGCUGAAGUAGGUCCCAAGGGUAUGGCUGUUCGCCAUUUAAAGUGGUACGCGAGCUGGGUUUAGAACGUCGUGAGACAGUUCGGUCCCUAUCUGCCGUGGGCGCUGGAGAACUGAGGGGGGCUGCUCCUAGUACGAGAGGACCGGAGUGGACGCAUCACUGGUGUUCGGGUUGUCAUGCC